CACAGCAAAAUCACCAGUGUUAAAUUUUCAGGGAUGGUGUUAAAUACACAGUGUUGAUGCUGUUUUAACACUAUCUGGUAAUAAAAUAACACUGCCAUUGCUAGGCCAGUGUUAUAUUCACGACAGUGUCAGUGUAAAACAAGGGUGUUAUCAGAUUUCACUCUGAGCGGUGUAAAUCAAGCCACGCCUCCACUAAACAUAUCCUGUCAGGGAUUUUACCGCCAUUUUCUUUCACAGGAGGACUGAAGAGAUCAGGUAAAUCAGUCUCAUAAUAUUCACAUGGUUUAGCUAAAUUAAACUGUUAUUUCUCUGUAUGACUCUACGCAGCCAUAUUCCAAAAAACCUAAAUAAGAUAUUUUUCCCAUUUUAUUUCCCCUUUGUUCGUUAUUUGGUUCAGUUUAAUCAGAGCUACCUUGUGUUACGUUGUUCCCUUGUUAGUUUAGUAUAAAGUUAAACUGCUAGCUAAAAGUUUAAAACCAAGAAGGAUAAUAUUAACAGGAGAUAUGAACGAAAGAAUUGAACCAUGAUAAAACGCGACAUGCACUACAAAUUGAAGGUAUGAAAUUAAGUUAAAUGAAAGCUCGUUUAUUCACCAUAUGAUGCUCGUUAUAAGGUAAUCAUAUAGGCUAGAUACCGUGAGUUAACGAGGUCGUUUACAUGCACGUGAGUGCACUGAUAUCGGUUAAUUAUUCAAAUUACUGAAAAACACGGAGAAAACCGCAACCGCAUCGUCAUAUGUUUUUUAAGAUGUAUGCAAACAGGGGAAAUAUCGCCAAACCAACAAUUAAUUUGACCAAAACCCCACAAUAUAUCAUCAUUUGUAUGCACAGAUUGGAUGCAUUGUGUGUUGUAAGCUUUUCGUGGCGCUAGAUGUCAGACAGAUGCAAAUGGCAAAUACAUACGAAAGUGUAAAACGUGUAUGGCGAACAUUUGUUUUUUUCUGUCAUUAUAGAUGCUAGUUUGAUGAAAGUUCACACUGAGUGCUUCAAAUCAUUCAGAAGAGAUGCUGUUUUUAGGGCAGUUUAUUAAAGAAGACCUAACAUGGAUGACUUCCAAUGAGAAACGACUGCUAAUACUUAUAUAAAUUCAUUACAGAAGGACCCUACCAGACUAUAUUUGAAUACGGCAUACCCAUGAAUUCUGGAACUGUUAUUCCUUAACCCAGUUUGGAGGAUAAGAGCUUACCAACUAGUUAUAAAUAUGCUGAGGUGAUGUAUUGCAAAAUAGCCAACAUACAACAAUAUGGAUGACCCUCUGUCUGGUCAACAGGAGUUUAAAUAUGGACGGGACAGUGAUGUGGCAGCUCUUCCCUGGCUCAUUCACCUCUUGCCUUCAUUUGUGAAAGGAAGAAAGACUGGAGAGGGUCAAUGUGCAACUGAAGCUACUGAUUGUGCUGUGUGAUGUGCAUCAAUCCAUGCUUUGAGGUGGAUGAAUCAGCACAUCCCUGCCUGCACUGCGUUGGGAACAGAAGUUGCAUCCAGAAUUUUUGCAUCAUUCUGGACCAAAAAGCCAUUCCCUCCAUGAUGAAGACCACUGAUGCAGCCUUCCACUACAUCAUGAGUAAAACAACUACAGAACUAAAUACCAGGUUGGAACGUAUUUAAGAAAAAUGAAACGUCUUUUGAAUUGAAAUGUCUGUUUUGUUAUGGAAAAAUCUUUAGUAUUGUGAAGGAUAAGCAUUUCUGCCUGCCAGUAAGGUAAUUGCAGUGUAUUUUAAUGUUCAAGUUUUGAGUAGGGUGGCUAAUUUUUUUAACUCUCAUUUGAUAUAUUAAAGACCUUAUAAUAAGUGGUUUUCAUGUCACUGCG